GAGUUUGAUCGUGGCUCAGAUUGAACGCUGGCGGCAUGCCUUACACAUGCAAGUCGAACGGUAACAGGUCUUCGGAUGCUGACGAGUGGCGAACGGGUGAGUAAUACAUCGGAACGUGCCCGAUCGUGGGGGAUAACGAAGCGAAAGCUUUGCUAAUACCGCAUACGAUCUACGGAUGAAAGCAGGGGACCGCAAGGCCUUGCGCGAACGGAGCGGCCGAUGGCAGAUUAGGUAGUUGGUGGGAUAAAAGCUUACCAAGCCGACGAUCUGUAGCUGGUCUGAGAGGACGACCAGCCACACUGGGACUGAGACACGGCCCAGACUCCUACGGGAGGCAGCAGUGGGGAAUUUUGGACAAUGGGCGAAAGCCUGAUCCAGCCAUGCCGCGUGCAGGAUGAAGGCC
rnacentral:rRNA from 1 species